AUUUACAUAGAUUAUAAAAAGAUCGUAACACUGAAGAUGUUAAAGAGGUUAAACUAAACCUGUAAAUG
rnacentral:tRNA from 1 species